rnacentral:rRNA from 1 species
CUGGCUCAGAUGAACGCUGGCGGCAGGCCUAACACAUGCAAGUCGAACGGUAACAGGAAGCAGCUGCUGCUUGCUGACGAGUGGCGGACGGGUGAGUAAUGUCUGGGAAACUGCCCGAUGGAGGGGGAUAACUACUGGAAACGGUAGCUAAUACCGCAUAAUGUCGCAAGACCAAAGAGGGGGACCUUCGGGCCUCUUGCCAUCGGAUGUGCCCAGAUGGGAUUAGCUUGUUGGUGAGGUAACGGCUCACCAAGGCGACGAUCCCUAGCUGGUCUGAGAGGAUGACCAGCCACACUGGAACUGAGACACGGUCCAGACUCCUACGGGAGGCAGCAGUGGGGAAUAUUGCACAAUGGGCGCAAGCCUGAUGCAGCCAUGCCCGCGUGUAUGAAGAAGGCCUUCGGGUUGUAAAGUACUUUCAGCGGGGAGGAAGGGAGUAAAGUUAAUACCUUUGCUCAUUGACGUUACCCGCAGAAGAAGCACCGGCUAACUCCGUGCCAGCCGCCGC